rnacentral:rRNA from 1 species
UAUUACCGAGUGCGGGCCCUCGUGGCCCAACCUCCCACCCUUGUCUCUAUACACCUGUUGCUUUGGCGGGCCCACCGGGGCCACCUGGUCGCCGGGGGACAUCUGUCCCCGGGCCUGCGCCCGCCGAAGCGCUCUGUGAACCCUGAUGAAGAUGGGCUGUCUGAGUACUAUGAAAAUUGUCAAAACUUUCAACAAUGGAUCUCUUGGUUCCGGCAUCGAUGAAGAACGCAGCGAAAUGCGAUAAGUAAUGUGAAUUGCAGAAUUCCGUGAAUCAUCGAAUCUUUGAACAGCACAUUGCGCCCCCUGGCAUUCCGGGGGGCAUGCCUGUCCGAGCGUCAUUUCUGCCCUCAAGCACGGCUUGUGUGUUGGGUGCGGUCCCCCCGGGGACCUGCCCGAAAGGCAGCGGCGACGUCCGUCUGGUCCUCGAGCGUAUGGGGCUUUGUCACUCGCUCGGGAAGGACUGGCGGGGGUUGGUCACCACCAAAAUUUUACCACGGUUGACCUCGGACAGGAGGAGUACCC